GCCUAGUUAGCUUAGUUGGUAGUGCGUCUGCCUUGUAAGCGCUACGCCGUGGGUUCGAUUCCCGCCCGGGGCG
rnacentral:tRNA from 1 species